UCCACGGAAGCAAGAUCGACGGCCUCCCGGACAUCCGAGCAAGACCACGGAUGGAGAACGUGCCCGAAGGAACUGGUCCAGCAGCGGGGGAAUUCCAUCCGAACAAGUCCAUUUCACACGUUCCCUGGAGCGCCGCGAUUCACGGCCGGCCGCCGCCCGCCGACCGCCGCGAGACAAGAAAAGGAAAGAAUUUCCCCGGGAGAGAUGGUGUACGCGCCGCCGCCCGACGGCAUGGGCCUGGAAAUCGACCUCGACCUGGACCCGGAGGACCUCCACCCGACGGUGCCCCUGAAGAAGGUCCCGGCGGGGGACCUCUUCGAGGCGGCGCGCGCCGGCGACUGCGACCGCCUCGCGCUCCUCCUCGAGGCCGGCGCCAACGUCAACGCGCGCGACCGCUGGGACUCCGUCGCGCUCUACUACGCCUGCCUCGCCGGCCACGCCGACGCCGCGCGGAUGCUGCUCGAGGCCGGGGCCGUCUGCGCCGAGCGCACCUUCGACGGCGACCGCUGCCACUACGCCGCGCUCAACCUCGACCUCCGGAGGCUCCUCAAGUCGUUCGAGGCGCGGCCGCCCCCGCUCGCGCCGCUGCCCGCCGCGCUGCGGACCACCUUCCUCGCGUGCCCUGCCAACCGCGCCGCGUACCUCGAAAUGUUGCUCCAGGAGGGCGCCACCGCCGAAGCCGCUGCCCUCGCUGAAGCCGAAGGAUUUGGGCCAACAGAUGGUGCAUCAACUGGCAGUCUGUUCCCCCCAGAUAUUACAUUUUACGUGGAUGGAAAACCUAUUGAAGCUCAUCGGGUCAUCCUUUGUGCUCGAUCGCCCUUCUUUGAACAGAAAUUCGAGACAGACUGGAAAAACAGGAAGGAAGUGAGAUUUUCUAAUAAAAAAUUAUCUUUUGGUGCUUUGUACAACCUUAUCCAUUUCUUCUAUGCCGAUAGACUCGAGGCUCCAGUAGAUGAAAUGGAAAGUUUGUCACGCACUUGCAAAGUUUGCAAGUGUGAGGAGUUGCGUAAGUUAGUUGAGAAAGAAAUUCUGCAUCUUAGGUUUGCACUGUAUAAGUCAACAAGUAAGUUGGGUUUGGAAAAUUCACAGAGUCCGAGACGGUUCAUUUUACUCGGGCAGUCAUUGCCACGGGAAGAUCGUCUUCCAUCGGCAUUGCGGCGUGUUCUUCAGAAAUGUCUAGCUAAUUCAAGAGAAGAAGAGUUCAAAAAAAGUGUAGCAAAUGAGAUGUGCAGAAACUGGAAGGAUGAUGAUCUUGCUGAUCUCACUGUAAAAGUAGAUGAUAGAGUCUUUCGUUGCCAUCAGGUGAUUUUGGCCUCAAGGUCGGAGUAUUUUAAAACCAGACUAUCUCGAACAGUGGAUUUUCUUGAAGGUAACAAUCGAGUGCAUGCAUCUCUGGGUCUCCCAUUUCUUGAGGAGCAUGACCUGAGUACGGAAGCAUUUGAAAAGAUGCUUGAAUACAUGUAUACUGACAAUCUGGAGCAUAUGGAUCCAACCCAGGCUGAAGAACUAUUUGAUGUCGCAUCGAGAUACCUGCUGUUUCCCCUUAGGCGCGCUGUAGCUGAUUUACUGUUACCAAAUCUGGAACAUGUUUCACCUGCAGAGCUGUGCCAUUGGUUGAUCUUGUCAGACAUUUAUGGCGUUAUGAAAAUAAGGGAGUACUGCCUGGAUAUCAUUGCCUACAAUUUCGAGAUGUUUGCGGACAUAAGAGAGUUCAGGGCUUUGCUCUUGACACUCCCACCGCCAUCUGCAAAUGACGCACUACGAACGACUCGUCCCAGCCAGCCCGGGGCUGCAGGGCACACUGACCAAGGCAAUAUUCUCGAUGACUUGCGUGAGAAAUGGUUGGAAGCGGAGGCUGCUGAGCUAGACGAGAGAGAUCAGAGCGCAGCGCUGUUUGACCAGCGACUGGAGAUGCUCAUGCUCAUUGCGGAGCGGGAAGCCUGUGAUGAUGACAAUACUGCCCUCCAUUGAGGACUGGAACUCUACCUUUCUUGUGUAGCUCUUUUGUAGUCUUCGCUGGAAGGGACUGAUGUAGUGUUUCUGAAUUACAUGUCUCCCCUUUGUUUUACAAUGGAUGCUUCUUACACUGGAAUGAAACCUUUUUGGAGCUUCAGCAUGUUU
rnacentral:rRNA from 1 species